UCAGUGACUUUGUGGAGUACGACACUGUAAUGACACUAGGUCGGUGACUUUGGGGAGUACGACACUAUAAUGACAUUAGGUCGGUGACUUUGAGGAGUACGACACUAUAAUGACAUUAGGUCAGUGACUUUGAGGAGUACGACACUAUAAUGACAUUAGGUCGGUGACUUUGAGGAGUACGACACUAUAAUGACAUUAGGUCAGUGACUUUGAGGAGUAAGACGCUAUAAUGACAUUAGGUCAGUGACUUUGAGGAGUACGACACUGUAAUGACAUUAGGUCGGUGACUUUGAGGAGUACGACACUGUAAUGACAUUAGGUCGGUGACUUUGAGGAGUACGACACUAUAAUGACAUUAGGUCGGUGACUUUGAGGAGUACGACACUAUAAUGACAUUAGGUCGGUGACUUUGAGGAGUAAGACACUGUAAUGACAUUAGGUCGGUGACUUUGAGGAGUACGACACUAUAAUGACAUUAGGUCGGUGACUUUGAGGAGUACGACACUAUAAUGACAUUAGGUCGGUGACUUUGAGGAGUACGACACUGUAAUGACAUUAGGUCGGUGACUUUGAGGAGUACGACACUGUAAUGACAUUAGGUCGGUGACUUUGAGGAGUACGACACUAUAAUGACAUUAGUUCGGUGACUUUGAGGAGUACGACACUAUAAUGACAUUAGGUCGGUGACUUUGAGGAGUACGACACUGUAAUGACAUUAGGUCAGUGACUUUGAGGAGUACGACACUGUAAUGACAUUAGGUCGGUGACUUUGAGGAGUAAGAUGCUAUAAUGACAUUAGGUCGGUGACUUUGAGGAGUACGACACUGUUAUGACACUAGAUCAGUGACUUUGAGGAGUACGACACUAUAAUGACAUUAGGUCGGUGACUUUGAGGAGUACGACACUGUUAUGACACUAGGUCAGUGACUUUGGGGAGUAUGACACUAUAAUGACAUUAGGUCGGUGACUUUGAGGAGUACGACACUGUAAUGACAUUAGGUCGGUGACUUUGAGGAGUACGACACUAUAAUGACAUCAGGUCGGUGACUUUGAGGAGUACGACACUGUAAUGACAUUAGGUCAGUGACUUUGAGGAGUACGACACUAAAAUGACAUUAGGUCGGUGACUUUGAGGAGUACAACACUAUAAUGACAUUAGGUCGGUGACUUUGAGGAGUACGACACUAUAAUGACAUUAGGUCGGUGACUUUGAGGAGUACGACACUAAAAUGACACUAGGUCAGUGACUUUGAGGAGUACGACACUAUAAUGGCAUUAGUUCGGUGACUUUGAGGAGUACGACACUAUAAUGACAUUAGGUCAGUGACUUUGAGGAGUACGACACUGUAAUGACAUUAGGUCAGUGACUUUGAGGAGUACGACACUGUAAUGACAUUAGGUCAGUGACUUUGAGGAGUACGACACUGUAAUGACAUUAGGUCGGUGACUUUGAGGAGUACGACACUAUAAUGACAUUAGGUCAGUGACUUUGAGGAGUACGACACUAUAAUGACAUUAGGUCACUGACUGAGUACGGUAUGACAAUGUUAUGUAGGUCACUACAUUUUCCCCAACUUCCCAAAUUUUAGCUACAGGUCGAGGUUUUGUAUCAGUUGAACAAAAAUAUGGAGAUGUAUAUAGUGUUUGAAAUGUGAUUAUCAGGAAUGUGACAUUAAGCAAUGUAACAUUAAAUGGAAUAUUUUAAAUGUAAA